UCGGCGCGCGCGGAGGCGUAAUGAGGGACUGACCAGUGUCCAGAACUCUUUGCAUCACAGUGACAGUCAUAUUAAAGGAAUUAGCCUUCAUUUGCACAUUCUACAGUUGCUCCAAAAUCUUAAAAGGUGAUUUGGUAAAGUGGUUCAUUCACUUGACUCUCAAUCCAAGGGUUUGGGGUUCGAAUCUCAUUCUGGCACUAACAUCAUUUGGCACCCUCCACCCGGGUGUAAAUGCGUAUUUGGAAAUUGCUGGGUAAUAUGAAAAUUGCAGGGCAAUCAGGAAGAACAGCAUCGGAGCUGGUGAGGCUUCCCUUGGCAAAUAAAAUCAUUGUUGUAAUCAAUUCCUACCGGAAGGCCUCGAGAGGAUAGUUUCGUAAUUCACACCGUUUUGGUAAUUAAGUCGUCUACCAAAUACAAAAUCACCAGGUAUGAUGUAUUUCCGUGUUGACUGCGUACAGGAUAGGCCUAUACUAAUAUACCCGAACUAUAGCCAUAUGAGAUUAUAUCUCAUUGUUGCCAAAUGCUAUUGAAAGUGAAACAGAAGUUCGGUGCGACUAGGCUUUCCAAAAUCUCGGACAUAUAUUUAGGAAUUUGGUAUACCCGAUGAACAAAUGUGUUCCAAGUCACUGCAACAAUAAAUUUCCCUUCUCAAAGAAAUCACUUGACCUCUCUUGACAGCGAUUGAGCUGUUGUGAACAUGGCUUCCGUCGAGAUGUGUACUGUACUCAUAACUUUAUUUCUUGUAGUACACUGUGGGGAAAACUUCGCCAACGGCGUGAUAACAGAUGUACGCCUUUUUGGUGGUCCAAUGCAUGAUAGAGGUACGGUUGAGAUCAGGCAAGACAACGGGACAUGGGAGACAACAUGUGGAGUAAAUCUAGGUAUCAGUGACGUCAUCGUCAUCUGCAGACAGUUGGGAUUCGCAAGAGCGAACAUAGCAAUAAGAGACACACCUUAUGUACAGAAUUCAACUCCCACCGGAGGGCUGCAAUGUC